CUCUCCGUCUUCUUUUUACAAUCUCUCUCUCUCUCAGCGAUUUUUCCCACCGUGUGGAGGAGUAAUGCCGUUAGGCCGGCGUAGCUCCUCUCUUCAUUCUUUCAUUCUGUUCUUUCUCUCAGACUGAGACAGACGUCCAUCAUGUCAUGCCAUUCUAUACAUUCCAUAACCGGCCUCAGGAGCGUCAGGAGCGUCAGGAGCGUCAGGAGCGCAUAGCGACGGCUGAGAUUGGCUAGAACGCAGGGAGUCUGUGUUCCUGUCCUGGCGCGGCCUCAAGCCUCUGCUGCGUCUACUGAAGCGAGUGUUAUGGCAUGAAAGGAAGAGACGGAAAAGAUGCCCAGGCGGCCCAUGGCCAGUUUGGUGGGUCGAGAGGCGAAGGCCAGCAGGCGUUUGGGGUUGGGGAGUUCGCCGCCCUGCAGGCUGGACAGUCGCUUCCAAUUCCACCCGCUACUUGGGACUCCCCCCAAUCACACUAUACUACCAACACCAAGAGGGCGGAAUCAGCCACCGCUUCUUUUCGAACUGCCACUCACGCAGCGCCACGGGACAGCCGAAUGAGCUCGGAGGAAAGCGCCA